rnacentral:rRNA from 1 species
ACUCAAAGGAAUUGACGGGGGCCCGCACAAGCGGCGGAGCAUGCGGCUUAAUUCGAUGCAACGCGAAGAACCUUACCUGGGCUUGACAUGCAGGGUGAAACCCGUGAAAGCGGGCGCUCUUCGGAGCCUGCACAGGUGGUGCAUGGCUGUCGUCAGCUCGUGCCGUGAGGUGUUGCCUUAAGUGGCGCAACGAGCGCAACCCCUGUCCUUAGUUGCCAGCGGGUCAUGCCGGGAACUCUAGGGAGACUGCCGGUGCCAAACCGGAGGAAGGUGGGGAUGACGUCAAGUCAUCAUGCCCCUUAUGUCCAGGGCUGCACGCAUGCUACAAUGCGCGGUACAGAGGGCUGCGAUCCCGUAAGGGGGAGCGAAUCCCAGAAAGCCGCGCUCAGUUCGGAUCGAGGUCUGCAACCCGACCUCGUGAAGUCGGAGUCGCUAGUAAUCGCGGAUCAGCAAUGCCGCGGUGAAUACGUUCCCGGGCCUUGUACACACCGCCCGU